rnacentral:rRNA from 1 species
UAGGGAAUCUUCCACAAUGGACGCAAGUCUGAUGGAGCAACGCCGCGUGAGUGAAGAAGGUUUUCGGACCGUAAAGCUCUGUUGUUGGUGAAGAAGGAUAGAGGUAGUAACUGGCCUUUAUUUGACGGUAAUCAACCAGAAAGUCACGGCUAACUACGUGCCAGCAGCCGCGGUAAUCGUAGGUGGCAAGCGUUGUCCGGAUUUAUUGGGCGUAAAGCGAGCGCAGGCGGAAGAAUAAGUCUGAUGUGAAAGCCCUCGGCUUAACCGAGGAAUUGCAUCGGAAACUGUUUUCUUGAGUGCAGAAGAGGAGAGUAGAACUCCAUGUGUAGCGGUGGAAUGCGUAGAUAUAUGGAAGAAUACCAGUGGCGAAGGCGGCUCUCUGGUCUGCAACUGACGCUGAGGCUCGAAAGCAUGGGUAGCGAACAGGAUUAGAUACCCUGGUAGUCCAUGCCGUAAACG